AACAGGAUUAGAUACCCUGGUAGUCCACGCCGUAAACGAUGUCGACUUGGAGGUUGUUCCCUUGAGGAGUGGCUUCCGGAGCUAACGCGUUAAGUCGACCGCCUGGGGAGUACGGCCGCAAGGUUAAAACUCAAAUGAAUUGACGGGGGCCCGCACAAGCGGUGGAGCAUGUGGUUUAAUUCGAUGCAACGCGAAGAACCUUACCUACUCUUGACAUCCAGCGAACUUGGCAGAGAUGCCUUGGUGCCUUCGGGAACGCUGAGACAGGUGCUGCAUGGCUGUCGUCAGCUCGUGUUGUGAAAUGUUGGGUUAAGUCCCGCAACGAGCGCAACCCUUAUCCUUUGUUGCCAGCGAUUCGGUCGGGAACUCAAAGGAGACUGCCGGUGAUAAACCGGAGGAAGGUGGGGAUGACGUCAAGUCAUCAUGGCCCUUACGAGUAGGGCUACACACGUGCUACAAUGGCGCAUACAAAGAGAAGCGACCUCGCGAGAGCAAGCGGACCUCACAAAGUGCGUCGUAGUCCGGAUCGGAGUCUGCAACUCGACUCCGUGAAGUCGGAAUCGCUAGUAAUCGUGGAUCAGAAUGCCACGGUGAAUACGUUCCCGGGCCUUGUACACACCGCCCGUCACACCAUGGGAGUGGGUUGCAAAAGAAGUAGGUAGCUUAACCUCCGGGAGGGCGCUUACCACUUUGUGAUUCAUGACUGGGGUGAAGUCGUAACAAGGUAACC
rnacentral:rRNA from 1 species